AGGGAUAGUAACGAAAGUAAAAAUGGGAAAAAUAUAUUUAAUACGUUUAAUGUAUUUCCCAAUUAGUCUGUAAAAUACUGUUAUUUUUACAGAAACAAAUAAAUCCACUAGAAAAUUUCCUUAGAGCGACAUCUGUUACCAAUAUGAGGUCUUAUGUUAUUUGUAAGGGUCAAUGUAAGGCCUGUGUAUAAUCCUGAGGUACCGAAUUGAGCAAAGUGCAAUACUGUAAUGUCUGAAGAAAACUCAGAAGAUGAGUGUUCACAAUCAAGUGUAU